GCAUUAUGUUUCUAGGUUUCUGAUUUCUUUUCAUUCAUGGGUUAUUUACAGAUGUAAUAGUUGUUGGAGCAGCUAAAGAGAAGAUCAUGCACCUGGGAGCGAUAUCAUGAGCUUUUAGAGACAGGUAAAGAGAUAAAGAGGUGGGUCGCAGUUUUGUUAGAGAAAAAAAGGGUUGUUGGUGUACACAACAAGAUAACGAGCUAACAGAAGGGGGGUUAUGAUAAGAAGUAGAAGAAGUGGUCUUGAGGUAAGGGUCAUGACGAUGAGGGGCAGUAUAAACUACCAUUAAUUUGAAUUAUGCAAGAGUCUUAUGGUUGCAACUGCAGACACGAUCAAUGUGUACGUUGUGUCCUGGGAAAUGUAGUGGUGUGUUGCACCUGGAGACACGAUUUUAAGUAUUGGAACAAGAUCUUUGAUUUUUUUGUGCUUACUGUUUACAUUUUUGCUAUGUUUUCACCUUGACUUUGUA